UACGGAGGGGGCUAGCGUUAUUCGGAAUUAUUGGGCGUAAAGGGCGCGUAGGCGGCCCGGUAAGUCAAAGGUGAAAUCCCUCGGCUCAACUGAGGAACUGCCUUUGAAACUGUCGGGCUUGAGGCCGGGAGGGGGUAGCGGAAUUCCCAGUGUAGCGGUGAAAUGCGUAGAUAUCAUUUGGAACGCCAAUGGUGAAAACAGGUAGCUGGGGCUGUGCUGACACUGAGACACGAAAGCCAGGGGAGCAAACGGG
rnacentral:rRNA from 1 species